rnacentral:misc_RNA from 1 species
GGCGACAAGUCUACAUUCAGACCAAUAACUUUUGGGAAGGUUAGCUUGAAAUCUAAUGGCCCUUGCAACAUGUAACAAGUGUCUGUGCUUUCUCUCCACUACACCAUUUUACUGGGGUGUAUAGGGACAGGUAGAGUGAUAGACAAUGCCUUUAGAUUGAAACAAUGUGGCACACUUGUGAUCAACAAAUUCAGAACCAUUGUCCGAUCUAAUGAAUUUGACCUUGGUGUGAAAAUGUGUCUCUACAUAACUAAGAAAAGCACUAAUGACUGAAAAACACUGAUCUUUGUAUCUAAACAUAUGAGUCCAAGUAGCCCGUGACAUAUCAUCUACAAUUGUAAGAAAAAACUAAGCUCUAGUAACAGAAAGAGUGGCAUAUGGGCCCCAAACAUCAAUAUGUAACAUUUCCAGAAGUUGACUGGCAACAAAA